rnacentral:rRNA from 1 species
AACGAACGCUGGCGGCAUGCCUAACACAUGCAAGUCGAACGAUGCCUUCGGGCAUAGUGGCGCACGGGUGCGUAACGCGUGGGAAUCUGCCUUUCGGUUCGGAAUAACUCAGGGAAACUUGAGCUAAUACCGGAUAACGUCGCAAGACCAAAGAUUUAUCACCGAAAGAUGAGCCCGCGUAGGAUUAGCUAGUUGGUGAGGUAAAGGCUCACCAAGGCGACGAUCCUUAGCUGGUCUGAGAGGAUGAUCAGCCACACUGGGACUGAGACACGGCCCAGACUCCUACGGGAGGCGGCAGUGGGGAAUAUUGGACAAUGGGCGAAAGCCUGAUCCAGCAAUGCCGCGUGAGUGAUGAAGGCCUUAGGGUUGUAAAGCUCUUUUACCCGGGAAGAUAAUGACGGUACCGGGAGAAUAAGCCCCGGCUAACUCCGUG